UACGUAGGGCGCAAGCGUUGUCCGGAAUCAUUGGGCGUAAAGCGCGCGUAGGCGGCUCGAUCAGUCUGUUGUGAAAGUCAAAGGCUCAACCUUUGAAUGCCGAUGGAUACUGUCGAGCUAGAGUCCGGAAGAGGCGGGUGGAAUUCCUGGUGUAGCGGUGGAAUGCGCAGAUAUCAGGAGGAACACCAACGGCGAAGGCAGCCCGCUGGGACGGUACUGACGCUAAGGCGCGAAAGCGUGGGGAGCGAACAGG
rnacentral:rRNA from 1 species